AUAAGUAAAACGCAAAUCGCAAAUAUUGUUUACUGCUGAUUUCAUUUUUAGUAAUGUUAUUUACUUUUGUCUUACCGUUUAAAUCAAUAUAAAUAAGAGUAAAAAGUGGUAUCAACAAUUUAAAAUAGUAAAGACGUUAAUUGAAUCUUCAAUUCAUUCGAGGAUAACAUUAGUUAUGUUUAUGAUAGUGGAUGAAGCGGAAGUUAUUGAACCCGAAAUGGACGAAGAAAAUCAUAGAGAUGCUCCAAAUGUAAGGGACGAGCGUCUGAAUCGAAACAAUGACUCCGAUGCGGACGCUUCUUUCAUUUCUGAGCCCGGUUCUGUGUCAUGCCUUCACAGAUGCCAGUCCGAAGAAGCUAAAAGACUAUGUAUUUUCGAUUUGACACAAAAAUUAAAACAUAGCUGUGAUUAUGAUAUUGGAGGGACCUACACAAGAAAUGAACCUGAUCUUUGGUUCUUCUAUUCAACCUCAAUAUGCCCCGGGUAUAAUUACUUAGUAAAUCUCUUUGUGUGUCAUAGGAAAAUCGGCUCUUUUUCUAUUGGUGUUAGUAAUUCAAAUGUAUUAGCCGAUUCUGAUAAGAUAAAAGAUUUCAUUGGGACGGCGACUUUACCUCAAACUUUAGUAUGGUACACUUUUAAGAGUGCUCAGCCCAAUGAGAUAUACCAUAUCAAAACAUUUUGUUUUAAUGAAAGUGGAGUUAAGUCUCUGGGCCGUGGCGCUCUUAUCAUUCCUACCACCAUUAUGAUGAACUCCAGCAACUGCCUUAAUAACGACGUUAUUAUGUCUAUCAAACUCCAUCACGACUUGAGUGGACUUCUUUCGAAAAAAGAAAAGACAGAUUAUAUAUUGACAUCUGCAAGUGGGAAAAAGUUUCCAGCUCACAAAAUCAUUCUUGUUGCUCACAGUCCUAAUUUGCGGAAUUUGAUAAAAGAUUCAGAGAGUGAUUCUCUAUUUAUUGAUAUUCAAGACCAUGAUAUGGACCUAUUGCUUCAAUUUCUAUACACUGGUACUAUCAAAGACAUAAUAAAACAAAAUUGCAUCAAUUUAUUGAAAAUUGCAGACAAAUUUCAACUCGAAAAUUUGUUUUUACUUACACAAUAUGCUAUCGGUGAACAAAUCAAUGUUGAAAAUGCUAUAAACAUUGCUGUUAUAGCUCGUAAGUAUAAUUUGAGCAAGCUUCAAUUAAAAGUAUUUUCUUUUAUAAAAGACAAUCCUAAGGUAAUGCAAACAGAAAGCUGGGAGAAAUUACAAGAUGUAGAACUCACAAAAAAGCUGCUGGAACACAUCUAUGCGAAAGAAUGACACAUGCCUGCUUCUCGUUGCAAAAUCAAUUAGAUUAUUGUACAACGGGUUUAAGUACCAAUUAUUGUGAUAAGUAAUAAGAUUUGUGUAAGUUUAAAAAAUAAAUCAUAAUAUUAUUUCCUAUCUGUAAAAUAAUUUAGGUCUAAUUUAUAAUUCUAUGUAAUAAAUAGUAGCUACUUUGUGUGGUUGUUUCCGCCAGUUGGAGAAUAUUUUCCUUGGUUACUUUAAAAUUAAGUCGGAUAAUGUUUUAUAAAAAUUUGAGGGCAUCGAUUUAUAGCUAGUAAUGUACAUAAAUAACCUAAUUUUCAGUAACCAAGGAAGUACCUAAAAUUAUUUUUUUUUAAGUAUAUUUGAAAUAUAAUUUUAAGCUAUGAUAAAUUGAUAACAUCUAUCCUAGAUAUUUUUUAAAAUUCACGAUAAUAAUCUCAUCAUCAUCAUCAUCAUUUCAGCCACAGGACGUCCACUGCUGAACAUAGGCCUCCCCCAAUGACUUCCACAUCGCACGGUUGGUAGCGGCCUGCAUCCAGCGCCUUCCCGCUACCUUUAUCAGGUCAUCGGUCCACCUUGUGGGUGGGUGGGAUAAUAAUCUAUGACUCAUAUAGUUUGCCAUGCAUUUCUUACUCUUAAGUUUCUUCGGUACUUAUACGUAUUUUUAAAAUGUGUCUUGACUGGCUAGGAAGCCAUCGUUACACAAGUAGGUAUUAAUAAUAUUUCAAAAUUUUUUUGAGCAAAGCUCAUACCUCAAUAUUGGUGCAUUAAACUUUACCUAUUAUUUAAAAUAACUAUAUGAGGUAUCUAAGAAUUUAAGUGAUUUUUGAAACAACAUUAAUUAUUCAGGAUGUUUAGGUUCAACUCUUACAAUAGAUAAAAUAAUGUGUAUUAUUAUUACUUAAAAUCCAUGUAUGGUUUUAUGAAUAAAAUAAACACUUACUUAUGUGA